rnacentral:rRNA from 1 species
AUUGAACGCUGGCGGCAUGCUUUACACAUGCAAGUCGAACGGUAACAGGCCGCAAGGUGCUGACGAGUGGCGAACGGGUGAGUAAUGCAUCGGAACGUGCCCAGUCGUGGGGGAUAACGCAGCGAAAGCUGCGCUAAUACCGCAUACGAUCUCUGGAUGAAAGCGGGGGACCGAAAGGCCUCGCGCGAUUGGAGCGGCCGAUGUCAGAUUAGGUAGUUGGUGGGGUAAAGGCCCACCAAGCCAACGAUCUGUAGCUGGUCUGAGAGGACGACCAGCCUAGCUGGGACUGGGGCACGGCCCAGACUCCUACGGGAGGGAGCAGUGGGGAAUUUUGGACAAUGGGCGCAAGCCUGAUCCAGCAAUGCCGCGUGCAGGAAGGAGGCCUUCGGGUUGUAAACUGCUUUUGUACGGAACGAAACGGUCCGGGUUAAUACCCUGGGCUAAUGACGGUACCGUAAGAAUAAGCACCGGCUAACUACGUGCCAGCCGCCGCGGUAACAC